UUGCCUUUAGACAACAAUUCUGAUGGCAAAAAAAAAAAGGUAAUAUCCACCUUAUUUCUUUGAAGUGUGACCUCUUUACUGUACAAUAGAAGAACAGUCGAAACAAAAUUUGAGGCUUUACCUAAAAGAUGACAUCAUUCAUUUCUAAAGACAACUGCUCAAAUACGACAUGAUCCUCAACAGGUUGCCAAUUUGAAAUAUAAAAGGCUCCAAGGAGCUUUGAAAGAAAGCGACUGGACUACUUUAAGUUUCUCUAAUCUAAAAAGUUUCUUUCAAGUCCAGUCGCUUCCCUGACUUGGGUGCCUGAGAACAUAAAAAGACAUCAUCCUAACAGCUGCUAAAUCAACCUGUCAACUCACCUAAUCUUGGAAACAUUUGUUUUCCACCAUUGUGUUGGUCUCUAAAGUUACAACAGACUAAUCGCUCACUAAUCAAUUACCACUCACCCUCAAAACUGCAACUCAUAGAUGGUCAAAGGUUAAAAUAAUAAACAAUAUAUUUCUAAUAUUAUAAUAAAUAAACACCAGUGCAAAAUGUCUUUGGCACAACACGGGAAUCGCGUUGCCCAAAGCCUGAGCAAAAACAGAUACGAUUUUUUUUUAUUACUGCAAUUUUUUUCAGCUUUUGAAAGUUCCUGUAAUAUAAAACAGUAACUUGGGUUGACUAGAUGAACUAUUUGUUAAAGUGUAGUCAGCUGGGCCUCAGACAUGAAAACAUUGUUAAUGUCUGAUAGUUUUACAAAACACUAUAAUUUCUUGUUUGAUAUGUGUAACUUUUCUUCUUCCAGAUAUCUGUCCAACCCCUGACCCUGAGUGUGAAGUGUUGCAGAGGCAGACUUUCCUCGUCAGCUCAGUGAUCCUGAACUUUGUGCUCUUUUUAGUGCUCUGUCUGAGUUGUGUAUGGCUGUGUCUGAAGAGGAGAAUCAGCAAGUAUCAGGCAAACCUCCCUCCAGCUGGGACCAGUGAGAGGCUGGAGGCUCCACAGUACGAGGAGAUCCAGUUCCCCACUCCCUCUGCUGCUCCGCUUCAAGAGUGUGUUUAUUACAAAAUUCAGCUUCCUCGCUCCACACUACCUCAAAGCUGAUGGACACACCUGUACAGGUGGAUGAUACCUGCUGGACAGAGGUCAGUCUGAUAACUGAAGACUUGCUGCUCCUCCGCUCGUAGGAGGAUUUAUUUUUUCCUCUCUGGUUUGAGUUGUUGGACCAAAAGUUCUGAAUCAAAAUUUUCCACAAACUUGAUGAAAGUGCUGCAAGAUUAAUUUUAGUCAGAGACAAUCUGCUCUGCUUCUGAGCUGAGAUGGACCCAAGAAUGUGACAACCUUUAGCCAAACCUGCUUUAAGGUGCUUCAGGAUUUAACACCAUAACUCAAUGCUGCUGUGAAAACCUGUAAAUAUGAAACUCCAACAUUUAAUAUUUAUUUGUUCUCUUAUAGUUUGUAUCUGUUUAUCAGUUUUUGU